rnacentral:rRNA from 1 species
CCUACGGGUGGCUGCAGUGAGGAAUAUUGGUCAAUGGGCGCGAGCCUGAACCAGCCAAGUAGCGUGAAGGAUGACUGCCCUACGGGUUGUAAACUUCUUUUAUAAAGGAAUAAAGUGAGGCACGUGUGCCUUUUUGUAUGUACCUUAUGAAUAAGGAUCGGCUAACUCCGUGCCAGUAGCCGCGGUAAUACGGAGGGUCCGAGCGUUAUCCGGAUUUAUUGGGUUUAAAGGGAGCGUAGUUGGGUUGUUAAGUCAGUUGUGAAAGUUUGCGGCUCAACCGUAGAAUUGCAGUUGAUACUGGCAGCCUUGAGUACGGUAGAGGUAGGCGGAAUUCGUGGUGUAGCGGUGAAAUGCUUAGAUAUCACGAAGAACUCCGAUUGCGAAGGCAGCCUACUAAACUGCAACUGACAUUGAUGCUCGAAAGUGUGGGUAUCAAACAGGAUUAGAUACCCGGGUAGUC